AACUAUAUCUAUGUAUUUAAACAAACAUAUACAUACUUAUAAGUACUAACCUCUUCAGCAAUCAUAAAAGCUGGAAUCGAGAAAAGCAUCAAUGCUAACAUAGUAUUAGUGAGCCAUAUUGCCACAGAAAAAGUUUCCGCCAUAUCAGCCUAAAUGAUGAUAUGAAACAAUGGUAUUGCUGCUCAUUUUCACUACCUGAAUUCCAUUUCGAAAAGCAAUGUAGCCCAACAG
ensembl:ncRNA ZC504.16 ncRNA